CCACCAGCUUGAGCUCUGCCCCAGAAAAAAAACCUGCAGUCAUAUUCCCGGUGCUGGCACAGCAUGUGUGAAUUAGAAUUAGAGCUGAGAGAGAAUCCCCUGCUCUGGAAAAGGCAGUGGUACAUUCCUCCGAUUAUGAACCUUCACUAAAUUGGUUGCUGUGCAUUUAAUUCUAGACCCAUCUUUCAGAGCUUUCAGGUCCUGUGCAGCAUCUUUCCAAUUAGCUCAGGUUUUCAGAGACAGGUGCCUCUCCGUUUCCAAACCACAAGACACAAGAGCUCAUUCAGUUAUUUGUCUCAUUUGACAACCGGGAAGACUGCCCAGGAGUACAAGCAAGUGCUGAGCUGCUGAGGAUGGAUGGUGUUGGUGGCAACAGGACUAUGUCUUACAGUCGAUGGAGUUACGACAGUGUUUUAGAUGACGAGAGCAGCAACCUGCGACAACAAAAGCUUGACAGACAGAGAGCAUUGCUAGAACAGAAGCAGAAGAAGAAGCGUCAAGAACCAAUGAUGGUUCAGUCCAAUGUAGAUAGCCGCACAAGGACCCGUAGAAUGAAACAAUCUGAAGAACAAGCACCACUAGUUGAGUCUUACCUCAAUAGCAACAGCAGCGCUAUCUAUCAUGCAGUACAAGAGACUGAGCAAGAAGAUGUUAAGGUGGCAGCAGAUCCACAGGCUCCGAAGUCAACCAAAAAACCCAAAGCAGCCACAGGAGGCUGUCAAACAAGCAGCACCAGGAAAGAGAAGAAAGGAAAACAAAAGGGCAUUGAUGGUCCAGCUGCUUUUCAAGAUGAAGUACAGAUAGCAAGGAGCCAAGUUCAAAUUCUUACUGUUGGGGAAUCUUGCCAUGAUGAGGAUGAUGGAGAGGUGUUAGCUACUAGCCAACAAGGCAAACAAGACCUUAGAGUAACAAUGCAGAAAAAAGGCAUUUCAAGUAGCAUGAAUUUUGAUGAAGAGGAGGAUGAGGAGGAUGAAGAUAGCUCAAGUUCCUCACAGUUAAAUAGUAAUACCCGACCAGGUUCUGCAACAAGCAAGAAAUCAAAUAAGGAAACAGCAUCAGGGCCCAGCCCUUCAACCAAUAACCCUGUAAUAAAUGUGGAUGAUUUGGAGGAGUUUGCUGUGAGACCUGCUCCUCAGGGAGUUACUGUCAAAUGCCGAAUCACAAGAGACAAGAAGGGAAUGGACCGUGGAAUGUACCCUACCUAUUACCUCCACCUAGAAAGGGAGGAUGGUAAAAAGGUAUUUUUAUUAGCUGGAAGGAAACGGAAAAAGAGCAAAACCUCAAAUUACCUCAUUUCCAUUGACCCAACAGACCUGUCACGAGGAGGAGAGAGUUUCAUUGGAAAAUUAAGGUCAAAUCUCAUGGGGACUAAAUUUACAGUUUACGAUAAUGGAGUUAACCCAGUGAAAACAACAUCGAGUUUGGAGGCAAGUAAUCUACGCCAGGAGUUAGCUGCUAUUUGCUAUGAAACAAACGUUUUGGGAUUUAAGGGUCCUCGUAAAAUGAGUGUCAUCAUACCUGGAAUGAAUAUGGAUCAUGAGAGAGUUUCCAUCAGACCACGGAAUGAACAUGAAACACUCCUCUCAAGAUGGCAAAACAAAAACACGGAGAGUGUCAUUGAGCUGCACAACAAAACUCCAGUCUGGAAUGAUGAUACUCAGUCUUAUGUUUUAAAUUUCCAUGGUCGUGUAACACAGGCCUCAGUGAAAAACUUUCAAAUUAUUCACGACAAUGAUCCUGACUACAUAGUAAUGCAGUUUGGCCGUGUGGCAGAAGAUAUUUUUACAAUGGAUUAUAAUUAUCCUAUGUGUGCAGUACAAGCCUUUGCUAUUGCCCUGUCCAGUUUUGACAGCAAGCUAGCUUGUGAGUGAACAAGUUAUGCCUAAACUUCACUGCAGCCAAAACCAUGUGCCACUGGAAGAAGAAAACAUACAUUCCACUUUUUUUCUGGUGUCAUCAGUGGUCACAUAUCCUUAUGAGGCAGGUAAAAUUUGUUUUCUGAAGGACCAACCUUUUUUGAUGAAGAGAAAAUAUUUUGAAAAUUCAAGACUUUUAGGAAUGUUUCCCCCGCUUAUUCUCUAUUUUUCUGGAAGUGGCAUCAGAGCUCUAUAAAUAGAAGACUUAUCUUAAUGUCCUCAGUUCUGUUAUAAAGAUGCACAUAAUUGUGGCUUAAGUGAAAACACCAUUGGGAUCAAUGAUGUCUUUUUUAAAAACCCAUAAAAGCUAUCAUGGCACAGAUCUAGUUUUGGAUUUAAGACAUAUUUGGAGGCUAUCAGCAUACCUCAAGAUUUCAUUCAUACUUUUAAGGAUUUUGUGUCACCCAUCUCAAACAUAAGACCGUGAGAAAGAUGCAAACUUUUUUCAAGAAAGAAACAAGAGGCUUCAUUAAAUUUUGGAGCACCUAAUGGAGGACCUAAUGGAAUCACCUGGAGAGAUAAAAUCAGUAAAGAUGAGCUCGUCUCUUCAUCUCUUCAGCCAGAAGAAAAUUUCUGCUGGAUCAAACUAUUCCUACUAAUAGAAGGAGAUGCUUCUAUCUGUAGAAGACUUUUUCUGGAUAUAACUAUGUAUGCAUGUUUGUGCCUUUUUACUAACAAAUCAUUAUAUUUCAGAAUGCAAGCUUUGGCUUAUCUCAUUUUCUUGGGAUUUUUUUUUUUAAACAUUAAGUGUACUAAAAAUUUGAAAUCAGAAUCAGCUUUCAAGGGGAUCUGAACAUUUAGUAUUAGUUUCAUGGUUGUUUCCCACAAAAUGAUAUUGAAUGUGACUGGUAUACAUAGAAUAUAUAACAAGACUCAGCAGUGCCAGAUUUGAGGGGGGACGUACAUUUUUGGUUACAUUUUCACUAGAUUCUACAAGGGCUGUUGGGUUAAUUGUAGCAGGUUUACCUUUCUGUGACUUACUAAGGACAAUGUGCAUCCAGUGCUGAUUACAAUUUUGCUGAUGCUUACAUCAGCACAGAAAUGCAGGUGGUUGGUCUGUGAAUCUUCUUUUGUUUUAGAUAAUUAACAUUCCUCUUGUAGUAGGUGAACACUUCUAUGCAAAAUUGCAAUCUGUUUGGUACCCUUUGAAAUUGCCAUUCUCCCAAGUCAAAGAACAUUGAUGACAAAGAUGAAGUGAUCACUCUGUCAGUUGGAGAAAAACCUAAAAGAAAGCGAAUUCAUCUAGCAGCAUUUUUUGUAUAGUAACACACUUUGUGAUGAAAAGACAUGUAAGUCAGAGAGUUGAGUAGUUACAAAUUAGGGAAUACAUAAAGAUCCAUCCCCAGAUUUUGCAGCAAUCUUUUCCUUAGGUAUAUUAAUAAGUCUUCUCAAAAUUAGAUUUAUUUAAACUAAGGCUGUCAUUUGGACAACUUAUUUGAGGAUAAGCCCCCUUGCAGUUAAUAUCACUUGUUCAGAAUACUGUGUUAGAAUUGCCCCUUAGGAAGUAUAUUUGCAGCUGUGGCCUCAAAUUUUUUGACAUGGUCAUAAAACGUAGUCUUGUCAGUACAAAUAUAUUAGCAUAUGUUUCACAUUUAAAUUCCUUGAAAUCAAACAGACUUCCUCUAGGUAAGAUUUAGUCAUAUUUAUCUGAAUGGGUCAAUUUUAAACCUGAUGAAGCCUAGAUCUAAUUUGUUGUAUGAUAUGAAAUUCAGUUGUUUGGCUUAUAUUCAUCCAAGAUUGAAAAGGGUUCACAAGGAGGAAUGCUUGUCUCUAAUCUGUUAUAUUUUUCUCUUGGUGAAUCCUUGCAAAUUGAGAUAAGGAACUUGUAGUGGAUAAGAUUUCAAGGUAUUGCUACUUUUGUUGUUGUUGUUGCUUUGAUUGGACACUUUUGGAAAGAAAAUGGCCUCAAUGAUCCUACUUACCCAUUAUUGGUAAUGGGUACACUUUCCCUUGAGCCAGUCUAUCUGCAGUGAUCUAGAUUUUGGGUGGGGGGAGCUGCAAUCUUGUGAUUGUUAGCUACGUAUUUUGUUCUCAGUUUUUAUGAGCCUGAAGAAGCAUUGAAAUGGUGACAUCAUUUGGGGAGCAGGUUGGAUGGUUUUCAGAGAAUUGGAAAGUUAUUUUGGGACAGGGUAGGAAAGUUUAGCAUAUUUCAUAGAGGUGAUCCUAGAGGUGAGUUAAACAAUAGUAGAAAUAAUUUUCUCAGUACACAGAUACAGAUACAUAUGUGUGUAGAGCAGCCUACUUACUGUUGUUAUUACUUUGGCUAAAAAAAUGUCAGAAGCAAGCUCCGCAAUCUUUACUUUCUGAUUUGUACCUUGAAACAAUUUGGAUUAAUCUUAAAGAAAUGCAUUUCAUUCCCAAAUGAUAAGAAAAUUCACAUUGAGAAUGGAAAACUACUUUUCAGACUCUCUAUGUACUUCAUCAUGUCAAUCAUUAGACAAUCUUAAAGCAAUGCUGAUGAUGUUUGGGGGGCAAGACAAGCAAGGAGGCAGAGUAGCAUAAGGAUCUAAAGGGAGAAAAGGACAAAGGAUGAAAUGAGCAUCUCAAUUGAGGACACAAACUGCCCUUUUUUUUUACAUGUUUUGUAUAUGCAUGUAUGGAAUGGAUGGAGGUUGUGUUGUGACUUUGUGAAAGUUGUUUGUGACAUUCUGACAAAAAACUCAGAUUCCUUGGGCCAUCUAUUUAGGGCAAUUAGGAAUAAAAGCAUGCAUGGUAUAAAAAGUGGAUGGGAUGGAAAUGGAAUGUCCCCACCCACCCCACUACCCCCUGGCAGUUAAGGUCAGGCCACUUCAUUGAUUGGUCUUAAAUUCAGCACAGCAUAUACUUCUUUAAGCAACAUAUGGACUUAUAUGCAACAAAUUUUACCCUGAUAGGUUGCAGUGCAGAACAUUGACUAAUAUGAUUUUAAAACAUUGACUAAAUGUUAAUGGUAUGCAAUUCAUCAGUCAACUAAUGGCUUGGUAGAAUAUCCAUCUGUGACCCGCUUGUGAACUUUGAAACUGGAUCUUAGUAUUCUUAAUCAAUAAAGGAGAAUAUUUAAUAUAUAUUAAUAUUUAUUACUCUCCUUUAUUGAAUCUUAGUCAUUUUGCAAAGUGAGAUAUUGGAUUAGAAGGACCCUGAAUCUGAGCCAGCCAAGUUUGCUUAUAUUCCCUUAAAAACAUUUCUAGAGCUUUCAGAGCAGAUUCUUUUUUCUUAUCAUGAAGUGCAUUAGUUGGAUGGUCACUCCACACAAGACCAAGACAACUAGGGUAGAUAAUUUUGAUUGCUAUAUACUCCAGAGAAUGACUAGAGGUAGACAUUUCUGGAAAUCAUUCUCUAUUAUGAAAAGCCUCCCAUUAAUAAAGCUUUAUGGGCCUUAUGAGUAUAUGGAUUCUGAUUGUCCCACCCAUGAGCUCUAUUAAUGAGCCCUCCCCCUAUUUGUGAGGCUUUCCAUGAAGGUUGGGAAACUAAGAACAAUAUGUGUAAAAAUUCAAAGCAGUUUCUUUAUUGUGUGUUCUCCAGGGUGGAUAAAAAUAGAUGAUUAAAAAAAUAAUUAAAAAAUCAGAUAUUUUAAAAUUUAAAUUGGAUUUUUCAAAAUUUAAAUCAGAUUGUAGCAUGAGGCUGUAUAAUCUGCAAUGUUUACAUUUUUUAGUAAACUCAUUCGAUGAAUCCAAACUCUGCAAACUGAGAUAACAUGCACUGCAUUGAUGCAUUCACACAAUUUCACAGUAAUCAUGAGAUAAAUCAUAAAACAAAGUUCAGGAAU